UGCCAGCAGCCGCGGUAAUACGGAGGGUGCAAGCGUUAAUCGGAAUUACUGGGCGUAAAGCGUGCGUAGGUGGUUGUUUAAGUCAGAUGUGAAAGCCCCGGGCUCAACCUGGGAAUGGCAUUUGAUACUGGAUAACUCGAGUUUGGGAGAGGCAAGUGGAAUUUCAGGUGUAGCGGUGAAAUGCGUAGAGAUCUGAAGGAACACCAGUGGCGAAGGCGGCUUGCUGGCCUAAAACUGACGCUGAGGCACGAAAGCAUGGGUAGCAAACAGGAUUAGAUACCCUGGUAGUCCAUGCCGUAAACGAUGUCAACUAACCGUUGGGUUUCUUCGUGAAACUUAGUGGUGGAGCUAACGUAUUAAGUUGACCGCCUGGGGAGUACGGUCGCAAGACUAAAACUCAAAUGAAUUGACGGGGGCCCGCACA
rnacentral:rRNA from 1 species